UUGAUGUGCUCAGAAGCCCCACAGCUCAGCUCCACACUCUGUCUGCUGCAGGCUCUGCUCUCCUGUCCUCUCUUCCUAGGAAUGAACACGAUGAAGUUGCUGAGCAAGCAGCAUGGGGAUGCUCCGCGCUCUUUGGAAUUACGUUUUCAUUUAAAAGGAGAUUUCUGCAGCUCUGUGAGAGGAAGCAGCAGCAGCCUUGACUUUUCCACUGGACCAUGGAUUUACUGAGUUUGUCCCCAGGGCUUGGAAAGCUUCCCUCCCCACAUGGCACUGUGAACACCCAUCUGGCCCCAUGCUUUUGCCUAAAGAUCUUUUGCUCCUGUGACCCUAACCCUCAGAAUGGGGACACACCGAUCUUGGAACCUAAACAAAGAAACCACAGGAGCAGAGGCAGAGCCGGUGGCCCGAGAGAAUGCUGGGAGGGAGCAAACGGCCGCCUGGAACACACUGACAGUGAUGAUGGACAGAAGGGACCUAUGAAGAGUCAGCAGAAUCAUCCUAGCCAUCUUUUAAAGAUAAGUAUUGCGUGUUUAUUGACGUACGUCUCUGUGUGUGCACGUACCAUGGCAUGCGUAUGGAGGUCAGAGGACAGCCUGUGGGAGUCAGUGCCACCGUGUGGGUCCGACAAAUCCAACUCAGGUCAUCUGGCCUUGAAGCAAGUGUCCUUGCCCACUAAGGCAUCUCACCAGCCCUUUAUGUAGCUACUUUGAGCAGUCAUUGCCUAUCUGCUGUCUGUGCAUCUGACUUAACAACCUUUUUUCUUUUCUUUUCUUUCCUUUCCUUUCCUUCUCUUCUC